GAUGAACGCUAGCUACAGGCUUAACACAUGCAAGUCGAGGGGUAACGAGAGGAAAGCUUGCUUUCCUUGUCGACGACCGGCGCACGGGUGAGUAACGCGUAUCCAACCUGCCCCCAACUAAGGAAUAACCUUGCGAAAGUAAGACUAAUACCUUAUAAUUUCCUCAGAUGUCAUCUGACGAGGAAUAAAGAUUUAUCGGUUGUGGAUGGGGAUGCGUCUGAUUAGCUUGUUGGCGGGGUAACGGCCCACCAAGGCAACGAUCAGUAGGGGUUCUGGGAGGACGGUCCGCCACAUUGGAACUGAGACACGGUACAAACUCCUACGGGAGGCAGCAGUGAGGAAUAUUGGUCAAUGGGCGAAAGCCUGAACCAGCCAAGUAGCGUGCAGGAUGACGGCCCUAUGGGUUGUAAACUGCUUUUAUACAGGAAUAAAGUUAGCCACGUGUGGUUAUUUGUAGGUACUGUAUGAAUAAGGACCGGCUAAUUCCGUGCCAGCCGCCGCAGUAA
rnacentral:rRNA from 1 species